GACGAACGCUGGCGGCGUGCUUAACACAUGCAAGUCGAACGGAAAGGCCCUGCUUUUGUGGGGUGCUCGAGUGGCGAACGGGUGAGUAACACGUGAGUAACCUGCCCUUGUCUUUGGGAUAACUUCAGGAAACUGGGGCUAAUACCGGAUAGGAGCUCCUGCUGCAUGGUGGGGGUUGGAAAGUUUCGGCGGUUGGGGAUGGACUCGCGGCUUAUCAGCUUGUUGGUGGGGUAGUGGCUUACGAAGGCUUUGACGGGUAGCCGGCCUGGGAGGGUGACCGGCCACAUUGGGACUGAGAUACGGAGCAGACUCCUACGGGAGGCAGCAGUGGGGAAUAUUGCACAAUGGGCGGAAGCCUGAUGCAGCAACGCCGCGUGCGGGAUGACGGCCUUCGGGUUGUAAACCGCUUUCGCCUGUGACGAAGCGUGAGUGACGGUAAUGGGUAAAGAAGCACCGGCUAACUACGUG
rnacentral:rRNA from 1 species